ACUCAGGUGUUGUUGGGUAGGGGAGCGUUCUGUAAGCCUGCGAAGGUGGCCUGUGAGGGUUGCUGGAGGUAUCAGAAGUGCGAAUGCUGACAUAAGUAACGAUAAAGCGGGUGAAAAGCCCGCUCGCCGGAAGACCAAGGGUUCCUGUCCAACGUUAAUCGGGGCAGGGUGAGUCGACCCCUAAGGCGAGGCCGAAAGGCGUAGUCGAUGGGAAACGGGUUAAUAUUCCCGUACUUGGUGUUACUGCGAAGGGGGGACGGAGAAGGCUAUGUUGGCCGGGCGACGGUUGUCCCGGUUUAAGCGUGUAGGUGUGUGUUCCAGGUAAAUCCGGUUCACUUUAACACUGAGGCGUGAUGACGAGGCACUACGGUGCUGAAGCAACAAAUGCCCUGCUUCCAGGAAAAGCCUCUAAGCAUCAGGUAACAUCAAAUCGUACCCCAAACCGACACAGGUGGUCAGGUAGAGAAUACCAAGGCGCUUGAGAGAACUCGGGUGAAGGAACUAGGCAAAAUGGUGCCGUAACUUCGGGAGAAGGCACGCUGACAUGUAGGUGAAGUGAUUUACUCAUGGAGCUGAAGUCAGUCGAAGAUACCAGCUGGCUGCAACUGUUUAUUAAAAACACAGCACUGUGCAAACACGAAAGUGGACGUAUACGGUGUGACGCCUGCCCGGUGCCGGAAGGUUAAUUGAUGGGGUCAGCGCAAGCGAAGCUCCUGAUCGAAGCCCCGGUAAACGGCGGCCGUAACUAUAACGGUCCUAAGGUAGCGAAAUUCCUUGUCGGGUAAGUUCCGACCUGCACGAAUGGCGUAAUGAUGGCCAGGCUGUCUCCACCCGAGACUCAGUGAAAUUGAACUCGCUGUGAAGAUGCAGUGUACCCGCGGCAAGACGGAAAGACCCCGUGAACCUUUACUAUAGCUUGACACUGAACAUUGAGCCUUGAUGUGUAGGAUAGGUGGGAGGCUUUGAAGCGUGGACGCCAGUCUGCGUGGAGCCGACCUUGAAAUACCACCCUUUAAUGUUUGAUGUUCUAACGUGGACCCGUAAUCCGGGUUGCGGACAGUGUCUGGUGGGUAGUUUGACUGGGGCGGUCUCCUCCUAAAGAGUAACGGAGGAGCACGAAGGUUGGCUAAUCCUGGUCGGACAUCAGGAGGUUAGUGCAAUGGCAUAAGCCAGCUUGACUGCGAGCGUGACGGCGCGAGCAGGUGCGAAAGCAGGUCAUAGUGAUCCGGUGGUUCUGAAUGGAAGGGCCAUCGCUCAACGGAUAAAAGGUACUCCGGGGAUAACAGGCUGAUACCGCCCAAGAGUUCAUAUCGACGGCGGUGUUUGGCACCUCGAUGUCGGCUCAUCACAUCCUGGGGCUGAAGUAGGUCCCAAGGGUAUGGCUGUUCGCCAUUUAAAGUGGUACGCGAGCUGGGUUUAGAACGUCGUGAGACAGUUCGGUCCCUAUCUGCCGUGGGCGCUGGAGAACUGAGGGGGGCUGCUCCUAGUACGAGAGGACCGGAGUGGACGCAUCACUGGUGUUCGGGUUGUCAUGCCAAUGGCACUGCCCGGUAGCUAAAUGCGGAAGAGAUAAGUGCUGAAAGCAUCUAAGCACGAAACUUGCCCCGAGAUGAGUUC
rnacentral:rRNA from 1 species